rnacentral:lncRNA from 1 species
UGAGUAUUGAACAAAGGAUGGGGAGUAUUGAACAAAAAAUUGAAAAUAUCCAACAGAUGAUGGCGAAGUAUGAUGAGAAACUACAAAAAAUGGAAGAGAAAGACAAUCAAAGAGAUGAGAAAUUGCAAAAAUUAGAAGAGAAAGACAAUCAAAGAGAUGAGAAAAUUGGAAAUAUUGAUGACAGAGUGACAACGCUUGAACAAAACAAGAAUGAGAUGGUGAAGUGGGAGAUGGACAGAUCAGAAUAUUACCUCAGAUUUCAAAAUAUAGAGGAAGAAAAAGGACAAGAUCUUGCUGCAGUAAUGAUAGAAAUCUUGGCUGGAGCUUUGGAAAUAACAGAGGAAAAAAUGAUGGAUGGAAUAGAUGAGAUAUACCGAGUUUUUACAAGAUAUGCAUCGAGGAAUAAGUUACCAAGAGAAGUUCAUGUUAGAUUUACUAAAAAAUCUAUCAGAACGCAGAUAUUACAAGCGGCAAGAGAGAAGACAUUGAAAUAUGGAGAUAAAGAGAUUGGGGUUUUAAAACAAGUACCCAGAAAAAUUAGAGAGAUGAGGAGAGAAUACCGUUUCCUGACUAAAGUAUUAUUGGAAAAGGAGGUGAAUUACAGAUGGUUGAUUCCAGAAGGAUUAAUGGUUACAUGGAAAGAACAGAGAUACAGAAUUGGCUCAAUUGAUGAAGCAGAAUCGUUUUAUAAGGAAUUUUUUAAAAGAAGAGAAACAGAGAUAGAAGAAGACACUACCUUAACUGAAUUUCAAGAGGACCAAAUAGAGAUGGGAAAAGAAGAAGGUGCAGUAGGUGGACAAGUGGAGACUAAAGAUCAACGUGAAGUAAGAUCAACGAGAGCCGUUAGACCUAAAUAUAAAUCAUAACUAUGGAGGAAAAAAAAUUGAUUUCUUUGAAUAUAAAUGGGCUGAAUUCAGCUACUAAAAGAAGGAAAAUUUUUCAUAAAAUAGAGAAAUUAAAAUUUGAUAUAAUUUGUUUACAAGAAGUACACAUUAAAAAACAAC